rnacentral:rRNA from 1 species
GGGAGGCAGCAGUGAGGAAUAUUGGUCAAUGGGCGAAAGCCUGAACCAGCCAUCCCGCGUGCAGGAAGACGGCCCUAUGGGUUGUAAACUGCUUUUCCAGGGGGCGAAUAGUCACGACGUGUCGUGGUAUGACUGUACCCUGGGAAUAAGCAUCGGCUAACUCCGUGCCAGCAGCCGCGGUAAUACGGAGGAUGCGAGCGUUAUCCGGAUUUAUUGGGUUUAAAGGGUGCGUAGGCGGAGACAUAAGUCAGUGGUGAAAACCUGCAGCUUAACUGUAGAAUUGCCGUUGAUACUGUGUUUCUUGAGUAUGGUCAAGGCAGGCGGAAUGUGUAAUGUAGCGGUGAAAUGCUUAGAUAUUACACAGAACACCGAUUGCGAAGGCAGCUUGCUGGGCCAUUACUGACGCUGAUGCACGAAAGCGUGGGGAUCGAACAGGAUUAGAUACCCCCGUAGUCCA